rnacentral:rRNA from 1 species
AAAGCGAAAUAGUGAUAUGGAGCAAAACCCAAAAAAGUAAGUCUCAGUUCGGAUUGAAGGCUGAAAUUCGCCUUCAUGAAGCCGGAAUUGCUAGUAAUGGCAGGUCAGCAUACUGCCGUGAAUACGUUCCCGGGCCUUGUACACACCGCCCGUCACACCAUGAGAGUUGGGAAUACCCGAAGCCUGUGAGCCAACCGUAAGGGGGCAGCAGUCGAAGGUAGAAUCAAUGAUUGGGGUGAAGUCGUAACAAGGUAAC